UACAGAGGUCUCAAGCGUUGUUCGGAUUCAUUGGGCGUAAAGGGUGCGUAGGUGGCGCGGUAAGUCGGGUGUGAAAUUUCGGAGCUUAACUCCGAAACUGCAUUCGAUACUGCUGUGCUUGAGGACUGGAGAGGAGACUGGAAUUCAUGGUGUAGCAGUGAAAUGCGUAGAGAUCAUGAGGAAGACCAGUGGCGAAGGCGGGUCUCUGGACAGUUCCUGACACUGAGGCAACGAAGGCCAGGGGAGCAAACGGG
rnacentral:rRNA from 1 species